CAAGGCACCCUUAGAGUUUGAUCCUGGCUCAGGACGAACGCUGGCGGCGUGCUUAAUACAUGCAAGUCGAGCGGACAGAAGGGAGCUUGCUCCCGGAUGUUAGCGGCGGACGGGUGAGUAACACGUGGGUAACCUGCUGGUAGGACUGGGAUAAUUCCGGGAAACCGGAGUUAAUACCGGAUAGUUCCUUGAACGGCAUGGUUCAAGGAUGAAAGACGGUUUCGGUUGCCACUUCCAGAUGGACCCGCGGGCCAUUAGUUAGUUGGGGAGGUAACGGUUCACCAAGGCGAGGAGGGGUAGCGGCCCUGAGAGGGUGUUGGGCCCCACUGGGAUUGAGCCACGGCCCAGAUUCUUACGGGAGGCACCAGUAGGGAUUUUUCCCCAAUGGAGGAAAUUCGGAGGGAGCAACGCCGCGGGAGUGAUGAAGGUUUUGGGUUGGUAAAGUUUUGUUGUUAGGGAAGACCAAGUCCAAGAGUAAAUGGUGGCACCUUGACGGUACCUAACCAGAAAGCCACGGCUAACUACGUGCCAGCAGCCGCGGUAAUACGUAGGUGGCAAGCGUUGUCCGGAAUUAUUGGGCGUAAAGGGCUCGCAGGCGGUUUCUUAAGUCUGAUGUGAAAGCCCCCGGCUCAACCGGGGAGGGUCAUUGGAAACUGGGAAACUUGAGUGCAGAAGAGGAGAGUGGAAUUCCACGUGUAGCGGUGAAAUGCGUAGAGAUGUGGAGGAACACCAGUGGCGAAGGCGACUCUCUGGUCUGUAACUGACGCUGAGGAGCGAAAGCGUGGGGAGCGAACAGGAUUAGAUACCCUGGUAGUCCACGCCGUAAACGAUGAGUGCUAAGUGUUAGGGGGUUUCCGCCCCUUAGUGCUGCAGCUAACGCAAUUAAGCACUCCGCCUGGGGAGUACGGUCGCAAGACUGAAACUCAAAGGAAUUGACGGGGGCCCGCACAAGCGGUGGAGCAUGUGGUUUAAUUCGAAGCAACGCGAAGAACCUUACCAGGUCUUGACAUCCUCUGACAACCCUAGAGAUAGGGCUUUCCCUUCGGGGACAGAGUGACAGGUGGUGCAUGGUUGUCGUCAGCUCGUGUCGUGAGAUGUUGGGUUAAGUCCCGCAACGAGCGCAACCCUUGAUCUUAGUUGCCAGCAUUCAGUUGGGCACUCUAAGGUGACUGCCGGUGACAAACCGGAGGAAGGUGGGGAUGACGUCAAAUCAUCAUGCCCCUUAUGACCUGGGCUACACACGUGCUACAAUGGACAGAACAAAGGGCUGCGAGACCGCAAGGUUUAGCCAAUCCCACAAAUCUGUUCUCAGUUCGGAUCGCAGUCUGCAACUCGACUGCGUGAAGCUGGAAUCGCUAGUAAUCGCGGAUCAGCAUGCCGCGGUGAAUACGUUCCCGGGCCUUGUACACACCGCCCGUCACACCACGAGAGUUUGCAACACCCGAAGUCGGUGAGGUAACCUUUAUGGAGCCAGCCGCCGAAGGUGGGGCAGAUGAUUGGGGUGAAGUCGUAACAAGGUUAACCGUAGGGUGUGAUCGGGGCUCGGUAGGU
rnacentral:rRNA from 1 species